GCGACCUGACCUGGACGAGCGAGCGGCGCGCGCGGGGGCCCAGGCGGGGGGCGGGAGGCAGCGGCGGGCAGCGCGGGCCGCCCGACCCGGGAGAAGUGGAGCCGAGAGGAGCGGGGGACACGGGCGGGGCCGC
ensembl:miRNA predicted gene, 25262